rnacentral:rRNA from 1 species
AUUGAACGCUGGCGGCAUGCUUUACACAUGCAAGUCGAACGGUAACAGGCCUUCGGGUGCUGACGAGUGGCGAACGGGUGAGUAAUGCAUCGGAACGUACCCAGAGGUGGGGGAUAACGCAGCGGAAGCUGUGCUAAUACCGCAUGUGAUCUGAGGAUGAAAGCGGGGGACCGAGCAGCAAUGUUUGGCCUCGCGCCUUUGGAGCGGCCGAUGUCGGAUUAGCUAGUUGGUGGGGUAAAGGCCUACCAAGGCGACGAUCCGUAGCUGGUCUGAGAGGACGACCAGCCACACUGGGACUGAGACACGGCCCAGACUCCUACGGGGGGCAGCAGUGGGGAAUUUUGGACAAUGGGCGCAAGCCUGAUCCAGCAAUGCCGCGUGCGGGAAGAAGGCCUUCGGGUUGUAAACCGCUUUUGGCAGGAACGAAACGGUGUCCGCUAAUACCGGGCGCUAAUGACGGUACCUGCAGAAUAAGCACCGGCUAACUACGUG